rnacentral:lncRNA from 1 species
AUAGAUCAUUGCAAUUGUUUGUCUUUCACGAGGAAUUCCUAGUAAGCGCGAGUCAUCAACUCGCGUUGACUACGUCCCUGUCCUUUGUACACACCGCUCGUUGCUCCUACCGAUUGAAUGAUCUGGUGAAAUGUUCGGAUCACGGCGACGUGGGCGGUCCGCUCCCUGUGACGUCGCAAUAAGUUCAUUGAACCACAUCAUUUAGAGGAAGGAGAAGUGGUAUCAAGGUUUCCGUAGGUGAACCUGCGGAAGGAUCAUUGUCGAAACCUGCAAGGAAAAACGACCAAUGAACUUGUUUAAAAACUCCGGAGCGGUGCGGCCAGGAUGCUACGGCCUCCGCUCGCAGUGCUUCCUCCUAUAUCCCCGACGCGCGCGCUUGCGUGCUUGCCAGGUGAUUAACGAAUCCCGGUGCAGAAAGCGCCAAGGAAUACUAAUUUGAAAGCCUGCCCCUCACGCCCCGUUCGCUGCGUGCGCGGGGGACUUUUACUUCUUUCGAAGCACAAACAACUCUCGGCAACGGAUAUAUCAGCUCUCGCAUCGAUAAAGAACGUAGCAAAAUGCGAUACUUGGUGUGAAUUGCAUAAUCCCGUGAACCAUCGAGUGUUUGAACACAAGUUGCAUCCGAAGGCAUUAGGCCGAAGGUACGUCUGCCUGGGCGUCACGCAUCGCGUCGCCCCCGCACACCGAGCCCAUUCUCAUGGUCGUGGUGCUGUCGUGGGAUGAAUACUAGCCUCCCAUGCACCUUGAGCGUGCGGUUGGCCUAAUUGCGAGUCCACAACGACAGACGUCACGACAAGUGGUGGUUGAAACUCAACUCUAGCAAUGUCGCGGCUCAAACCCAUCGCAUGUUUGGGUUCCUGACCCUUAUUACGCUUAGGCGCUCCGACCGCAACCCCAGGUCAGGCGGGACUACCCGCUAAGUUUAAGCAUAUCAAUAAGCAGAGGAAAAGAAACUGACAAGGAUUCCCCUAGUAACGGCGAGCGAACCAGGAACAGCCCAGCUUUAGAAUCAGGCGGCUCCCUCGUCCGAAUUGUAGUCUGGAGAAGCGUCCUCAGGGCGGACCGGGUCCAAGUCCCAUGGAAGGGGGCGCCAAGAAGGGUGAGAUCCCCGUUGUGCUCGGACCUUGUCGUACCAUGAGGCGCUGUCUACAAGUCGGGUUGUUUGGGAAUGCAGCCCAAAUCGGUCGGUGAAUUCCGUCCAAGGCUAAAUACAGGUGAGAGACCAAUAGCAAACAAGUAACUCGAGGGAAAGAUGAAAAGGACUUUGAAAAGAGAGUCAAAGAGUGCUUGAAAUUGCUGGGAGGGAAGCGGAUGGGGGCCGGCGAUGCGCCUCGUUCGGAUGUGGAACAGUGUUGAGCUGGUCCGCCGAUCGAUUCGGGGCGUGGACCAGCAUAGAUUGGGGGCGGCCAAAGCCCGGGCUUUUGAUACGCUCGUGGAACAUCGUCUUCUUGAUUGUGGUAGGCAGCGCUCGCCUCUGCCGUGCUUCAUUAUCUACGCGCUCCGGACACUGGCUUUUGGGCUCCCCAUUCGACCCUUCUCGAAACACGGACCAAGGAGUCUGAUAUGUGUGCAAGUCAACGGGCGAGUAAACCCGUAAGGCGUAAGGAAGCUGAUUAGUAGGAUCCCUCUGAGGGGUUCACCUCUGACAGACCUUGAUCUUCUGUGAAGGGUUCGAGUGUAAGCAUACCUGUCGGGACCUGAAAGAUGCUGAACUAUGCCUGAGCGGGGCGAAGCAAGAGGAAACUCUGGUGGAGGCCCACAGCGAUACUAACAUGAAAAUUGUUCGUCUGACUUGGGAAUAGGGGCGAAUGGCUAAUCGAACAGUCUAGUAGCCGGUUCCCUCCGAAGUUUCCCUCAGGAUAGUUGGAGCUCGCGUGCGAGUUCUAUCGGGUAAAUCAAAUGAUUAUAGGCAUCAGGGACGCAACGCCCUCGAUCUAUUCUCAAACUUUAAAUAGUUAGGAUGACGCGACUGCUUUGUUGAGCCACGCCACGAAAUCAAGAGCUCCAAGUGGGCCAUUUUUGGUAAGCAAAACUGGCGAUGCGGGAAGAACUAGAAACUGGGUUACGGUUCCAAACUGCACGCUAACCUAGAUCCCACAAAGGGUUUUGGUCGAUUAAGACAGCAAGACGGUGGUCAUGGAAGUCGAAAUCCGCUAAGGAGUGUGUAACAACUCACUUGCCGAAUCAACAAGCCUCGAAAAUGGAUGACGUUUAAGUGCGCGACCUACACCAGCUGUCGGGGCAAGUGCCAAGCCCUGAUAAGUAGGAGGGUGCCGCGGUCGCUGCAAAACCUUGGGCGUGAGCCUGGCGGGAGCGUCCGUCGGUGCAGACCUUGGUGUGCCCCGAAAAUGGAUGGUGCUUAAGCUCGCGACUUACACCCGGUCGUCGGGGCAAGUUCCAGGCCCCAAUGAGUAGGAGGGUGCAACGGCCACUGCAAAACCAAGGGCAUGAGCCUGGGAGGAGCGGCCGUCGGUGCAAAUCUUUGUGGUCGUAGCAAAUG